CUAAGAUAUUGCUAAACUUCUACUACGUAGAAAGACAAAUACCAUAUGAUUUUCACUUGUGGAAUUUAAGAAACAAAACAAAUGAGCAAAGGGGAGAAAAGAGAAAGAGGAAAAGUGAGAAACAGAUUCUUAACUGUAAUGAACAAAUUGAUAGUUACUAGAGGGAGGUAGGUGAGAGGAUGGGUUAAAUAGGUGAUGGGUAUCAAGCAGUGCACUUUGAUGAGCACUGGGUGAUGUAUGGAAGUGUUGAAUCACUAUACUCUACAUCUGAAACUAAUAUAACACUGUAUGUUAACUAGCUGGAAUAAAAAAAACUUUAAAAAAGUAAAAUUAUGUAACAAACAACAUAAAACUGCAGUGUAAAAUCUCAUGCAAAAUUUUGGGUUAAUGGAAUUCAGCUGAUCUUGACUUGGGUUGGUUGAUCUUGGCUAGUUCACUUAUGCCAUUGGUUAGCUGAAGGUUGGCUCAAUUAUCUGUAUAUUAACUAGCUAUUGUCUGAUCCAGAAUGGCCUUCUCUGGACCAACUGGGGCCACUCAGUUCUAUACAUGUCUGUCAUCCUGUGAUAGGCCAGCCUUGGCAGGUUCUCAUGGUCAUGGAAGAAGAGUAAGUACAAAGCAGAAAUAAACAAGUGCUUUUUAAGCUUCUGCUUGAGUCUUCUCUUGGUAAUAUUUUUUGGCCAAGCCUAGAGGCAGAGUGGAAAGCAAUACAAAAUUACAUGGCAAAAUUACAGGGAGAGUUAAAGCACGAGGACCACCACUGCAAUUGGUCUACCACAACUAUAAAGUCAUUCGGGCCAUUAUUGUAUUAGGGAAAGCUUAUUGUGAUAAUGUAAUAGUCCUAGUGAGCUGUGAGAAUCUGAAAUAGAUUGUGAACCUCGAAUCUAAGACAGACCAUAGAAAUGGGAAGAAUAUUGGGGAGAAAGGAUGGACAAGGACUGAUAAUGAACUCAAUGGCCAAGGCUUUGAAGUUGAGUCGGAAGAUCUGGAUUUGAAUUGAGGUUCUUUCACUUAUUAGCUGAGGGGCCACUGAUGAUACAACCGAGGCACAGAGAGGUUAAGUAACUUGUUCAACACCACACAGUUGAAGGUCAAGAGGUCUCAGACUGCCUGCAAAGACAGUAUUCAACAUAAGAUGAAGAUUUCUGCUUUGAAACAUUGUUUUUCCUGCAAUCCCAUGUUCAUUUUGGUGUUAAUUAGAGAAACCUGACAAGCUGAAGAGGUAAUUAGUUUCCCUUAUGCUUGUUGCACUGCAUCUGUGAACUCUCAGAAGAGAAAUUUGAAAAUAAAUCAUAUUUUGGCAAAGCAGCAAGACCAGCUUAGAUAAGCAUCAAGUGGGCAGGUUUUUCAGAACAGGAAUCUUCCUUAGGAGGAUUGGAAUGAGACAAUCAAUAUUAAGACUUGAAUUUUGGUUAAUAAAG